UAGGGAAUCUUCCACAAUGGACGCAAGUCUGAUGGAGCAACGCCGCGUGAGUGAAGAAGGUUUUCGGAUCGUAAAGCUCUGUUGUUGGUGAAGAAGGAUAGAGGCAGUAACUGGUCUUUAUUUGACGGUAAUCAACCAGAAAGUCACGGCUAACUACGUGCCAGCAGCCGCGGUAAUACGUAGGUGGCAAGCGUUGUCCGGAUUUAUUGGGCGUAAAGCGACCGCAGGCGGAAUGAUAAGUCUGAUGUGAAAGCACACGGCUCAACCGUGGAACUGCAUAGGAAACUGUCAUUCUUGAGUGCAGAAGAGGAGAGUGGAAUUCCAUGUGUAGCGGUGGGAUGCGUAGAUAUAUGGAAGAACACCAGUGGCGAAGGCGGCUCUCUGGUCUGCAACUGACGCUGAGGCUCGAAAGCAUGGGUAGCGAACAGG
rnacentral:rRNA from 1 species